AAAAAAAAUCUACUGCAAUACAGGCAUUACUUUUUCAUGUUUGGCUCAAUCACCAAACAGAAAACCAUCUAUUGCACAGCCUUAAGAGAUCACCCUUCUCAUAAAGAAACAACAUGGCAUAAAUUGUCAGUAUUGACAGAAUUGACAGAAGCGCAGUAAGAACUACCAAAGUACAGCGUGGGACAAGGAUGGCAACAAGAGCCCCAGUAUUUUGCCACAGAUACGCAGUCACAAUAGACAGACUAGCAAUGUCAACAGGCUGUGGCAGGGUCGACUUCAAAAGCCAUUGGCAGACAAGCACCAACAGCAGGAAGCACAGCAAUGAUAGAUGAAUGAGCAAAGCCAAUUAAAAAAAUAAAAUAAAAAAUAAUAAAAAAAAAAUUUUAAAAGCAAACAGAACAGUAUAGCCAGGAGAGAGAGUUGCAUGGCAACACGGGAAUCAAGAGGGAUAUUUGGUGAAGAUAGAAGACCAGACCGGUAGUUCACCCCAAGGGGAAAGUUAUAAUGUACUUCUGAAGCACAAGCAUAUAAGAGAUGAACUUUGGCAUGCCUGAGCAGGGUCUUGUGGAGGGAAGAUGUUAAAUUACAAAAUGGAACAGACACUUCUUUUAAGCUAUCAACACAGUCUCUUCUAUCACCGCAUUGACUCAGAUCAA